AAUGGUGAUGAAAGACCACACAUGUUGAAGAUAAGUUUGGCCUUAAUCUAAUCGAGAAACAACUGUUUUUCAUACCAGACAAGCAACUACUCCUCUCCGAGUCAAUGUGCCACACCAUUCACUCACCGGUGUAAUCCAUACACAUGUUCAGUACCUUUUGAAUUUUAUGCUCCCGCUUCUCCAUGUGUCAACCCCUUUGUUCCUUGUUGACCCUAGCUUGUCUUGAUGCAACAUCAAGCAACAACAAAAUAUUACACCUGAUACGACAUCAAGCUAUACAGGAACUAUUAGACCACCCAAAUUAUUGAAGCUUCAGAAUUUGUGUCUGGGUCCAUGCCUAAUAAACUGGAAGAAAACCAAAAGAUACUUAUUGAUAUGAAUCAACUUGGUUAAGUAUGGUCAAAUACAAUGCACGGUGGAAUAUCUGCCCUGGAAAACAAAAGAAAAGGAGAUGGAAGAAAUCAUGCACUCAAUGGGUGGCUGUAAGUUCACGGGUAUCAAGACUUGGCUCACAUAUCAUUGAUCAUGGGUCUGUGUCAAUAUGGCUCCGGUGCCCAGUUUAUCACGGUGUUUUGUUAUUAUUUCCGAGAUAGUACUUUCUAUUAUAGUGUUGAGAUAAGCAAUUUAGAUGUUUUAAAUAUUCCCAGCUCUUUGGAUAAGAAGUAUUUCAGUAACUGAAUAAUCUUUGACCGUCCAAAAGAACUACCAUGUUUCUUUGGGAAUAACAGCAGAACAAAAAAAUCGAGAAUCAUGGCUGACCUAUGAGGCGCAGAUGUUGCCGAGGACCUAUAACCAUGCCUCCUCUCCUUUGCGCAACCUUGAAACCACGAGUAAUUACCUGGCAUUAUUUCAUUAUCUCAGCUGGUUUUAUGACUUCGAACAUAUGAGAGUACUCUAACAUGUAAAAUAAUUCUUUCUCAGGUUCCAAAUAAGUCAACAGUAGGUCAAAAAUAGAGGUGAAACAUUGCCAGGCAGGCAGACACACAACAACAGCCGAUGAUUAUAGCUUAAGGUCCAAUGAGGAUAAUAUAAGUAGUGGAAAACGGAAUUUUGUAUCCACAUCCCUAUUGAUCAAGGAGUAAGUCAACAUGAUACAAGGAACGUACAACAACACACCCGAGACAAUAUAAUUACAACACUGCAGAAAAAUUAGAGAUCCAUGUAAUCAAAUAUCUCUUUGUUAAAUUUUAGCUGAACAACUUAACUUAUAGAGUGUCGAUGGUUCAGAUCUUUUUCCUUUUAAUUAACAUGUGAGUUAUUAUAAAGUGGGUAAUUUCUUUUUGCGGUAUAUAAAGUGGGUAACUCAUAUAGACUAAGACAUGGAAAAAGGGUGUAGGUGGUGCAAAUUCAUAGCAAGUUUUAUAUUGGAUGCACACAAACAACUGUGUGGACACACAAAAAGAAAACAAUCACUUUGAAAGUUUGAAUAGAAAUGUCUAAAUGAACAUCAGAUGGUCUAGUAUCUCCACUGAGAGCACUACAUGGACCCCUCAUUAACAAUUUAGCAAUGAACAAACAAUUCUAGUAUUUAGACAUGAGAAUACCUUGUACAGAAUUUCAAAGCCAUAAAAAACGUUACCACUGGUUUGGGUAUCCUGGAAAUAGAACAGAGGUAAUAAAUUCCUUAUAACUAAUCAGGUGAACAUAGAAAAUUGAUUACCUCUGGUUUGAUCCCAUGUGCUCUAGCCAAAAAUAGAUCAAAUCAGCAGGAUAUCCUAUAAGGAAACAAAUCUAGCAAGGAAACUGAUUAUUAUUAUAUCUAAUUUCCAGCUACCAGUGGUAGGCGCAAAGUGGAACACUAUUACGUAGGACAACAAAUUUGGGCAGGAGGAUGUAUAAUGGUUAUGAAUGCCAGGCAAAGUGUAUUAAGUUCAUAACUAUGAGCAUGCAAAUAAUUUAUAUGAAGGGUCCCUUUUCUUCUGCAUAAGUGAGACAUACUGUAUGUAUGUGUAAUGUGUCAACCUGUACACAAAUACAAAAUAUAUAUUACAACGGAAAAUGCGUGAAUAUGAUGAUGAAUAUCUUAUUCUGAACUCUUUUGCAUCUUGUAUAAUGGACAGGGAUUGAGAUUCUAAUUUCGGCACUACUGGAGAGUAUGUUGUGUGCAAAACGAAACUACAUGCAGUAAUCUACAUGAUUGUUCGUACCAACAGAGAAACAAUUUUGCAUUUAGUAGAUGUGUGUAUGUUUCAGGGUUACUUUCACAAUAUUUAGUUGCUAUAGAAAAAACACUUAAGGCUAGCAAAUAGAAUUAACCUAGUACAUAGAAAGUAGAGAACUGACCGCUGCAGUAAAUUAUGAACUGAUAUCACACAUAAAACAGUAACAUACCCCAAAAUCUAUUCCUCGCAGCUCCCCACAAGUCUUCCUUCGCCCUCUUCUGCUCCACCAACCCCUGUUAUGAUUUCUCUCCCCUUAAAUCAUUCUUCUUACUCUGCAUACCAUCUCUGUCUCCCCAGCCCAAACAUGCUAGUACCGUCAGUAGCGCGUCCGGCACCCCACGAAAGAAAACACAAUACAACCCACACAUGAAUAAUGAUGUAAACAUACGUGAAAUUAUGAACGCUCCAAGAAAAUCAUUCUGUAAAUAACUUGAAUGGUGUGUUGAUAUGCAGAAACAUCUACUUCUUUACAAGACAUUUACUUGUUUGGAUUGCAAAACAAAUAUUGUUGUAGGAAAUGAUCUAUUGGAAACUGGUACAAAACUUCAAACAUCUUUACUGCUGGACAUAGAACAAGCACACAACAUCCUGUAAUUAUUUAGUUGCAGACGUACAUGCAUGACAGCCAACAUAU
rnacentral:lncRNA from 1 species